GGUCACCCUGAGUUCCUCCUAGCUUCUUCAGUACCCGUGGAAAGCUAAUGCUACAAUUAUCUUGAGCUGGUAAGACUGGCAGGUGUCAGAUGUGGAUGUGUUAAAGGUAAUAUUAUUGAUUAUUUACGGCGCCAUUCAAGUAUUUGUUCUACUGUUAGAGGAUUUAAUCAAGUAUAUGUGGUAUUACUCCUGAUUUGCUGAAGGGUUUGGAGGAACUCUAGGUGCU
rnacentral:pre_miRNA from 1 species